rnacentral:rRNA from 1 species
UACGUAGGGUCCGAGCGUUGUCCGGAGUUACUGGGCGUAAAGCGCGCGCAGGCGGCGGUGCUGGCCCGGCGUGAAAGCCCCCGGCUCAACCGGGGAGGGUCGUCGGGGACCGCACCGCUUGAGGGCGGUAGGGGCUGGUGGAAUGCCUGGUGUAGUGGUGAAAUGCGUAGAGAUCAGGCGGAACACCCGUGGCGAAGGCGGCCAGCUGGGCCGGUACUGACGCUGAGACGCGAAAGCGUGGGGAGCGAACAGG